UCAAGGCCGAGGGGCUAGGGUUUCUUCAGACAAUCAGGGCCCAAGGUUUACAUUCUCUAGAAAUUCAAGGCCCGAGUUUAUGAUUUGCUAGAGAAAAUUGUGCGUCUGUCUUUUUCUAGGAAUUCAGUUUUUAUUUUCGCAAGCGCAACUAUGGCGACGAUGCUAGCUUCCUGAGAAUUACUAGCAUCGUUUGGGUUUAGGGCUUUUCGAUGGCAAGGGAGAACGAAGCGGCUUCGCAAGCCACCGUCAAUGGAGACGAUACACUCACGAGAUCUCUACGAUGUCGUCCAUAGGGAUCGGAAGAGGAUGGGUUUUUGCUUAGGGAAACACAUCGAGAAUGUACGAGAUCUCGAUGGUGCCGUCCGAGGGUUCCACAUUCUCGGUGUGAUGAUAGACUUGUGUUAAUAAGGGAGCUUACUCAACCACUAUGGAGAAUUUCUUGGAUUGGAUUCCAAAAGAGUUCCUAAUAAUCCUGCCGCCAGUCAAUUUGUAGAGGCUUUGGCUAAAGCUUGGACGGAAUACAAUAACCCAAGGUUAGAGCUGACACAAUGUCUCAUUUGUUCCUUCUGCUGCUGCUGCCACUUUCAGCGAAGUGAAUAAAGAAAACAUUGGCAGAAAUUGACACAGAGGGGGAGCUUCUACCAGAUGGAACACUUGCUGUGGGUGGCCAAGCAAUUGCAGUUGUGUUACACACCAAAUGAUUAUCCUACUGAAUCAGAGUGGAGAGCAAGGCUACUCAUGGAUUUGAGUUAUUCAAAUAGACCCAUCUUAUGUGGCGCCACAACACAGGGACAAGUAUGAUUUGAUGGAAGUGUAAUUUUCAAAAUUCAUACGAAUGACAAAAAAACGCUGGUCUCUUUGCAUUGCAGGCUCCAAAAUAUAGCAAGGAAUUCUUCAUGGGGUCUUGGACACACCCAAUCCGCAAUCUGGGUUUGAUUUACUUUUAAUGAUCUUGAACUCUCUCCAAUCACAAAUUAUGUUAAACCUUCUAUAUGAUAGAAUUUUACCACUCAUCUUUAGGACUGUAUUACUAAAUGGACAAUGCUGACUUUCGUGAUCUGCAGAGAUCCGUAUCUGUGGUCUUCUUCUUUUGUGUGUCUCUGUGAAUGCUCAAACGUCUGGUUUCAUAUGUGAUAUCAAACCUUAGUUGAUUGCAUAACAUGAAUUUAUAGUAAUAUAUUUUAUUAAUUUCCUAACAUGAUUUUGAGAAGUCAUGGGUUAUGAGAAGACUGUCGUUUGCAGCACUGGAUUAAUUCAUAGUUGUAGAGCAGAGAGACACUGCACCAUGAUGUCAAUAGACUGUUUUCUAACUGACGGAGGGUUAUCCGUUUUCCUUUAUUAUUUGUCCUUUUUUAACAUUGUCGGACUUGUAAACUGACUUUGCCCUUGCAGGGAUAUGUGAGUUGCAGAAUCAUGGUCAUAUCCUCAGUUUGAUGUCAAAUUUCUUCAAAUAGAAUUAAAGGUUGCUGGGCGAUUUAUUUGUUGCUUUUUUCUGUGCAUGGAUCCACUUCCUAUUAGAUGUUAUAUUUAGUCAACAGGUCUAAUUUUUGUUAUUA